GCCCGAAUAGCCAUAUGGUUAAGGUGUUCGACUCACAAUCGUUCAGCCUGGGUUCUAGUCCCAGUUGGGGCU
rnacentral:tRNA from 1 species